GGAGUAAUUAUUAUUAUUGUUACGCUGUCCACUUUAAAAGCGGAUUAUCAUGGGUUCGAUUCCCAUCUGCUCCA
rfam:Culex pipiens quinquefasciatus supercont3.26 genomic scaffold, whole genome shotgun sequence.